rnacentral:rRNA from 1 species
GACAGCAGUAGCCGCGGUAAUACAGAGGGUGCGAGCGUUAAUCGGAUUUACUGGGCGUAAAGCGUGCGUAGGCGGCUUUUUAAGUCGGAUGUGAAAUCCCUGAGCUUAACUUAGGAAUUGCAUUCGAUACUGGGAAGCUAGAGUAUGGGAGAGGAUGGUAGAAUUCCAGGUGUAGCGGUGAAAUGCGUAGAGAUCUGGAGGAAUGCCGAUGGCGAAGGCAGCCAUCUGGCCUAAUACUGACGCUGAGGUACGAAAGCAUGGGGAGCAAACAGGAUUAGAUACCCGCGUAGUCCCUGUCUCUUAUAA